rnacentral:rRNA from 1 species
UACGUAGGGUGCAAGCGUUAAUCGGAAUUACUGGGCGUAAAGGGUGCGUAGGCGGUGCGGUAAGUCUGUUGUGAAAUCUCCGGGCUCAACUCGGAGUCUGCAUCAGAAACUGCCGUGCUGGAGUGUGGGAGAGGUGAGUGGAAUUCCCGAUGUAGCGGUGAAAUGCGUAGAGAUCGGGAGGAACACCUGCGGCGAAAGCGGCUCACUGGACCAUAACUGACGCUGAUGCACGAAAGCUAGGGGAGCAAACAGG